UCCCCACUUGCAGAAAAGAUGUUUGAGGGC
rnacentral:piRNA from 1 species